rnacentral:rRNA from 1 species
UACGAAGGGGGCUAGCGUUGCUCGGAAUUACUGGGCGUAAAGGGAGCGUAGGCGGACAGUUAAGUCAGUGGCGAAAGCCCAGGGCUCAACCCUGGAAUUGCCUUUGAUACUGAUUGUCUUGAGUAUGGGAGAGGUAUGCGGAACUCCGAGUGUAGAGGUGAAAUUCGUAGAUAUUCGGAAGAACACCCGUGGCUAAGGCGGCUCUCUAGUACGGUACUGACGCUGAGACGCGAAAGCGUGGGGAGCGAACAGG